rnacentral:lncRNA from 1 species
AAGAAAUACAGUAUUCUAUUGAAGAUCUUUUACAGGCAAGGCAGGAAAUAAAACAGAAUUAAAAGUUCUAAAAUAUUUCAUUCUUUACUAUAUCGUGUAGACAGGGAAGAUUAACAGAAAAAUAAACAGAGCUGCCUAAAAUUAACAAUUUAAAGUUUCGGAUCAGUAAUAUAGUAUUCGAUGAUAAAGGAGGCGAAGGGGG